rfam:Populus trichocarpa Ptrichocarpa_Cont1894, whole genome shotgun sequence.
AUAUUUAUUAGGGGCAAAUUCUUAUUUAGUUAUGGCAGAUCCACACCUGACUGCUCAAAAUCAAUCGUUAUCACAAGAUCGACUACAUCAUUCACAUUAAAAAACAAAGAACAACUGCUGUUUGGAUAAUAUGUUUUUGAGAUUUUAAU